CAUGGGGGUCUAACCAGCCGGUGCCAGCAGCCAGUCCCAGAUUCAUGGGGCUGGGUGACAGUGAGCUCUUCUAAUCCAGUGCCUUGCCUGUGGCUGGCAACAGGAGCCCAGCCUAUCCUGCCAGGCACCCGGGCGCUGUGAGACCAAAGGGAACGGUGCUUUGCAGCCAGCUCAAUAAAGUCGGUUUCUCUCUAGUCCCCUAGCUCAGCCCCUCAUCCUGGUGCUGUCAAUCUCAAGGUUUCUGCAUGUGGGCCAUGUGGCCAGGAGUAGCGGAGGAGGGGGAGAGGCUGGUUAUACCAUGCACAGUCAGGGACAGAUGGGACAUGACAACCUACUGCUGCCGGUUUCUGGAGUGAAGCCAGCUCCUGGGCUGGAAGAAGCCACGAUACUGAAGUCACCAGGGGCUCAGGCCCUGGGAUUCAGGACUCAUAGUUACUUGGUCCAGCUGGCUGCCUCUUGUGGGGAGAGGGUGAAUUCUGCCCAGUGUUGCUUCAGUUCUGGGCUUUGGCCCUGUGCCCCAGCGUAGAGAACCCAGCCCUUUCCCUGGCAUAACUGCUUGCUCCACGGCUAGGAAGGGAAUUCGCCCUCCUUGUCCGGUCAGCCUGGGCCUUGCAUGAGCCCCUGUCUCCUGGGUUGGGAAGAAGAUUCCACUUCCACCAUGUCAAUUGCUGGCUUCCCCAUCUCUUCCCAAGGCUCCCUCUGCCCUGAGGCUGCCGUGCUUUCCCACUGCUGCAGUAGCACAGGUGCCAUUCCUAGCAUGUCCUGGGGCUGCAGGAAUCUGAGCAGGGCGCAGUGACAUGGU